GCCGCAGUGGCGGAAUGGCAGACGCGCACGGUUCAGGGCCGUGUUCCUUACGGAGUAGAGGUUCAACUCCUCUCUGCGGCA
rnacentral:tRNA from 4 species